AUGCGGGGUGGGGGUGGAGCCGGAAACGCGUGCCCUCUCCCACUCCCGCCCACCCCGUUUCCUUUUGGCUCACAAAGUUGUUUGGUUUUUUUUUUUUUUUCCCCUCUUCGCUGUCGGUGCGGCUCUCGCGGCCACCCUCCAGCCAUCCGUCCCUCCGUCAGUUCCAAGCGGCGGGCUUCAGAAGGUGUCCCUGGAUAUCCACCUGCUGUCGGUGAGGAAGUUCAGGAUCCACUUCUUGAGGACUUUAUCCAGGUCGUCGAACUCCUUGCAGGACAUGAACUGGUAGACAGGCCGCAGCUUCAGCCGCAGCUCCUUCACCUUGGUGACCUUGCACCGCGCCGCCCGCUCCUUCUCCUUGCCCAGGAAGGCGGGCACCAGGUUGUGGCCGCGCGCGAUGUUCUUGCAUCGCUGCCGCUCGCGGAACUUGCACAGGGACAGGUCCAGGUGCGCGCGCUUCAGCUCGAUCUCCACGUCGUUGCCUCCUUGACGGAGGGCCUGCUGAGGAGCGUCUUGACGUUCUGGUCGUACUCGAUCUCGUAGUCGUCCGGCAGAGGCAUGUAGUCCAGCUGCUGCUGCUCGGCCACCGAGAUGUGUAAUGCUCCAUCACUUCCUGGGGGGUCCGGGAAGCGCCGACGUGAGUUGCCAUGUCCUCCCAGUUCCCGAAGCUGAACUGCUCCAUGGCAUCCAGCAGCAGCUGCUCCUCGCGGCUGGUCCAGCCCCCGUUGCCUCCUGCCCCCAGAGCGUGAAGCGCCCGCCGUCCAUCAGCUGGUAGCCGUGGUAGCGGCGGUGGUGGUGGCGGAUCUCGGCGCCGGCGGAGAAGCACCCGGGGCAGGGGCACAGCUCGAUGUCCUGGCACUCGGCGCAGCGGAAGCGCAGCGGGCUCACCUCGGCCAGGCAGUACACGCAGUACUUCUUGCGGAGCUCGCCAUCUUCCGCCGCCAGGCCCGCCGCCCCGCGCUCCAGCGAAACCGCGGGGCCGCCACCACCUCGGCCGCCCUGCCUCAGGCGCCCGCUGCUGACAUUUUUUUUUUUUUUUUUUUUGGGUGAUAAUUCUGGGAGUCUUGUAGAUCUUUAUAGAACCGUUCAGCUUCAGCUUCUUUGGCGUUAGUGAUUGGGCAUAGACUUGGAUUCCGGUGAUAUUGAAUGAUUUGACUUGGAAAGGAACAGAGAUCAUUCUGUUGUUUUAGAGAUUGCACCCAAGUACUCCAUUUCGGAGUCUUCUGUUGACUCUGAGGGCUACUCCAUUUGUUCUAAGGGAUUCUACUACCCACAGUAGUAGAUGU
rnacentral:lncRNA from 1 species